rnacentral:ncRNA from 14 species
UGGUGUAGAGGUAACAUAUCUGCCUUCCAAGCAGGUGCCCCGGGUUCAAUUCCCGGC